CCAGGGACCGCCGGCUGCGAGCAGCGGGAACGGACCUGCCCCGGGUCGCAGCGGUUUUUCCCGGGCGGGGCUGAGGCUGCAGGGAGGCGGGCGUUCCGGCGGAGGGUCACGGCCUCGCCGCCGGGACUUUCCUGGGGUGGAGGUGUGAGCACGUAGGAGCCCUGGCCUUUCCAACUUCCCAGGUCAGACUGGGGCUGGGACCACCCUGCGCGGCCUUGGAUGCAGGGAACCAACCCAGUGCUAGUCCGCCCUCGCGGGGACCUGUCCUCUCGCCUGACCUAUGAAGUCCGUCCCUGCCUCCAAGGCUCCAACAAAGUCCUUCUUUCCCCCAGAGUAGCAGUUCUCAAACUUGAGUGCAUCAGCAUCACCCAGAGGCUGUAUUCAAACACGUUGCUGGCUCCCUCCACGGUUUCUGAUUCUGUGGGUUUAGGGUGGUGAUGCUGAUUCCUCUGGUCAAAGGACCAUCCCUGGAGAGCCACUGCCCUUUAGGUAACGAUUUUCCCCUCAUUUUUCUUCUGAACUCGGUCAGCACCUUGUUCAGCCUCCCACUGAGCCUGGAACCCUUGACAGCUGGGGAAACAAGUGCGUUGCUGCUAAGCCAGGAGGGCACCUAGGAAUCCCAGCUUCCAAUCCAGGGCGUUUUCCUCUGCAUUCACUGCUUCUUUUACUCUCUUGGGAGCCUAUGUGUGGGAUCCAGAACAGGGCAGAACCCUGAGUAGUAAACGCUGAACGGGAAGCGAGGUUAGUUAAAUCCAACUGCAGGAGAGGAAAAAAGAGUCCUUUUCUUCCGGAGAGGAGAGGGUACACAGAGGAUGCCUGUCCACUGACCAAACCUGCCCUGAGCAUCACCAUUGACGCUUUCGUUCAUUCAAAAAACAAAGUUAAUUCAGCAGGUGCUCUAUGCCAGGCACUGACUUGGUAUGGGGGAUAAUGAAGGAAAUAAAACCGAGAUCCCUGUCUUUGGAGAACAUACUUCCUAAUAGGGAGAUUAACAGUAAACACAAUAAAAGCAUGUGAUCUUUCUUUUUUUCACUCCACCUUUCCCCCAUCAAAUGAGGAAGGAAAGCUCAAGCAGUUUACUAUUUUGGGAAAAUUGUGCCAUCGUGCUUAGUACAUAGUGUGUAUCAGACUUAAGAAAAGGACAAGAAUGAAACUAUUAAAAAAAUUUCUCCAACUGGCAAUUAAAAGACAAUGGGAAAACUGCUUCUAUGUUUAAGAAAAAAUAAUUUAACUCUUAAUUUUAUUGCCACUUAUCUACUUUUGACCAUAUAUUGAGGAUUCCCCCCCACCUUCCACCACCAGUGGAACUGGGGAAUAAAACAACAAAGAUUGAAGAUGUAAUGGAGAAAAGAGUGGAAACAACCCAAGACAGUGAUGAAGGGGAAUCUCAUGAAAUCAUCUGUGUUGCAAAUCUAGAGAGGUAUGAUGUACCACAGUGGAGUAACUGGAUGGAUGGAAUUCACCUAAAAGGAGAUAUUCAGGGAAAAACAAAACAAACAAAAAACAAAAACAAAAACAAAAAACGCUCAAACUAUUACACUAGGUUAUAUAUAUACAUAUAUAUUUUUUUUCUUUUUCUCUUCCUAUUUUCCUUUUCC
rnacentral:lncRNA from 1 species